rnacentral:rRNA from 1 species
GACGAACGCUGGCGGCGUGCUUAACACAUGCAAGUCGAACGGAAAGGCCCUGCUUUUGUGGGGUGCUCGAGUGGCGAACGGGUGAGUAACACGUGAGUAACCUGCCCUUGACUUUGGGAUAACUUCAGGAAACUGGGGCUAAUACCGGAUAGGAGCUCCUGCUGCAUGGUGGGGGUUGGAAAGUUUCGGCGGUUGGGGAUGGACUCGCGGCUUAUCAGCUUGUUGGUGGGGUAGUGGCUUACCAAGGCUUUGACGGGUAGCCGGCCUGAGAGGGUGACCGGCCACAUUGGGACUGAGAUACGGCCCAGACUCCUACGGGAGGCAGAAGUGGGGAGUAUUGCACAGUGGGCGGAAGCCUGAUGCAGCAACGCCGCGUGCGGGAUGACGGCCUUCGGGUUGUAAACCGCUUUCGCCUGUGACGAAGCGUGAGUGACGGUAAUGGGUAAAGAAGCACCGGCUAACUACGUG